rnacentral:rRNA from 1 species
UACAGAGGUCCCGAGCGUUGUUCGGAUUCACUGGGCGUAAAGGGUGCGUAGGUGGCUUGAAAAGUUUGAUGUGAAAGCUCAGGGCUUAACCCUGAAAUGGCAUUGAAUACUGUCGAGCUGGAGGUUUGGAGGGGGGACUGGAAUUCUUGGUGUAGCAGUGAAAUGCGUAGAUAUCAGGAGGAACACCGGUGGUGUAGACGGCUCUCUGGACCGUAACUGACGCUGAGACACGAAAGCGUGGGUAGCAAACAGG